rnacentral:rRNA from 1 species
UACGUAGGGCGCGAGCGUUGUCCGGAAUUAUUGGGCGUAAAGAGCUCGUAGGCGGCCUGUUGCGUCCGCUGUGAAAUCCCAGGGCUCAACCCUGGGCGUGCAGUGGAUACGGGCAGGCUGGAGGCAGGCAGGGGAGAACGGAAUUCCCGGCGUAGCGGUGAAAUGCGCAGAUAUCGGGAGGAACACCGGUGGCGAAAGCGGCUUCCUGGUCCGACACCGACGUUCAGGCACGAAAGCGUGGGGAGCAAACAGG